UACGUAGGUGGCAAGCGUUGUCCGGAUUUAUUGGGUUUAAAGGAUGCGUAGGCGGCCCUGUAAGUCAGUGCUGAAAUAUCCCAGCUUAACUGGGAGGGUGGCAUUGAUACUGCGGGGCUAGAGUACAGAUGAGGUAGGCGGAAUUGACGGUGUAGCGGUGAAAUGCUUAGAUAUCGUCAAGAACACCUAUAACGAAGGCAGCUUACUAGGCUGUAACUGACGCUGAGGCACGAAAGUGUGGGGAUCAAACAGG
rnacentral:rRNA from 1 species